rnacentral:misc_RNA from 1 species
GAUGAAGAACGCAGCGAAAUGCGAUACUUGGUGUGAAUUGCAGGAUCCCGUGAACCAUCGAGUCUUUGAACGCAAGUUGCGCCUCAAGCCAUUAGGUUGAGGGCACGUCUGCCUGGGCGUCACAUAUCGUUGCCUGAUGCCAGUUUCCUCGUGAUGGGUGACUGUGCAGGGCGAAUGAUGGCUUCCCGUGAGCAUUGUUGCCUCAUGGUUGGUUGAAAAUUGAGUCCUUGGUAGGGAGCGCCGUGAUAGAUGGUGGUUGAGUGACGAACGAGACCCAAUCAUGUGAGACCCCUACCGAAUUUGGCCUUCAUGACCCACAUGCGUCUUUGGAACGCUCAUGACGAGACCUCAGGUCAGGCGGGGCUACCCGCUGAGUUUAAGCAUAUCAAUAAGCGGAGGA